rnacentral:rRNA from 1 species
AUUGAACGCUGGCGGCAGGCCUAACACAUGCAAGUCGAACGAGUGGCGGACGGGUGAGUAAUGUCUGGGAAACUGCCUGAUGGAGUGGGAUAACUUCUGGAAACGGUCGCUAAUCCCGCACACCCUCGGUUUUUCCCCUAUGGGAUUAGCUUGUAUGUGGGGUAAAGGCGCACCUAGGCGACGAUCCCUAGCUGGUCUGAGAGGAUGACCAGCCAAACGGGAACUGAGACACGUUCCCGACUCCUACGGGAGGCAGCAGUGGGGAAUAUGGCACAAUGGGCGCAAGCCUGAUGCAGCCAUGCCGCGUGUAUGAAGAAGGUCUUCGGAUUGUAAAGCACUUUAAGUUGGGAGGCGUUACCAAAAGAAUAAGCACCGGCUAACUUCGUGCCAGCAGCCGCGGUAAUAG